rnacentral:rRNA from 1 species
UAGUCAUAUGCUUGUCUAAAAGAUUAAGCCAUGCAUGUUCAAGUAUAAGCUUUUAUAUAGUGAAACUGCGAAUGGCUCAUUAAAUCAGUUAUAGUUUAUUUGAUAGUCGAAUGCUACAUGGAUAACCGUGGUAAUUCUAGAGCUAAUACAUGCAUCAACAUCCGAAAGGAUGGCGUUUAUUAGAUAAAAGCCAACACGUUGGUGAUUCAUAGUAACGAGGCGGAUCCCAAUGGGACAGAUCAUUCAAAUUUCUGCCCUAUCAACUGACGAUGGGAGG